ACCCUUGUAGCUCAGUUGGUUAGAGCAUCCGACUCAUAAUCGGCAGGCCCUAGGUUCAAGUCCUAGCAGGGGUA
rnacentral:tRNA from 1 species